GCCUUCGUGAUGUAGUGGUCAGCACACUCGGUGUGUAUUCCAGAGGUCCGUGGUUCGAGUCCCGGCGAGGGCA
rnacentral:tRNA from 1 species